rnacentral:ncRNA from 1 species
UUAUAAAGGCGACAUAAUAACCGUACCUAGAGUCUACCACAAGUAAGCAAGUAGAGUAUACGAAGGCGUUUGAGUGAACAAUCAUUAAGGAACUCGGCAAACUAACUACCGUAACUUAGGGAUAAGGAGAGCCAUUCCUCCUGAUUAAUAUCAGGUAAAGAAUAGGAAGCAUGGAAUAGUGUUGUACGACUGUUUAAUUAAAACAAAGCACUCUGCAGUAAGAUAAUAAAUCAAAGUAUUGAGUGUGAUUUCUGCCCGAUGUCGGCUGGUUAACGGAUUUGUUAAGUUGACUAAUAUAAGCUUGACUUUGAAGGAAACCCCGAUCAAUGGCGGCCUUAUUUUGAGGGUCCUAAGGUAGCGGAAUACCCUGGCCGUUAAAUGCGGUCUUGCAUGAAUGAUUUAACGAUACAACAGCUGUCUCAAUGAUUGGCUCAGUGAAAUUGGAAUAACUGUGCAGAUACAGUUUACCUCUAGUUAGACGAGAAGACCCUAUGCAGCUUUACUGUUGCUAGUUAUUGGAUAUGAUUGAAU